rnacentral:rRNA from 1 species
UACGUAGGGUGCGAGCGUUGUCCGGAAUUAUUGGGCGUAAAGAGCUCGUAGGCGGUUUGUUGCGUCUAUCGUGAAAACCUGCGGCUUAACUGUGGGCUUGCGGUGGAUACGGGCAGACUUGAGUUCGGUAGGGGAGACUGGAAUUCCUGGUGUAGCGGUGAAAUGCGCAGAUAUCAGGAGGAACACCGGUGGCGAAGGCGGGUCUCUGGGCCGACACUGACGCUGAUGCGCGAAAGCCAGGGGAGCGAACGGG